UAGUUCUGAGUAGCUAGACAUGGAAGCCAGAGUGGGGGGUAGUUCUGAGUAGCUAGACAUGGAAUCCAGAGUGGGGGGUAGUUCUGAGUAGCUAGACAUGGAAGCCAGAGUGGGGGGUACUUCUGAGUAGCUAGACAUGGAAGCCAGAGUGGGGGGUACUUCUGAGUAGCUAGACAUGGAAGACAGAGUGGGGGGUAGUUCUGAGUAGCUAGACGAGGCAGACAGAGUGGGGGGUAGUUCUGAGUAGCUAGACAUGGCAGACAGAGUGGGGGGUAGUUCCGAGUAGCUAGACGUGGCAGACAGAGUGGGGGGUAGUUCUGAGGAGCUAGACAUGGCAGACAGACAGCUGUAACAACCUCCCUUUCUGAACAUGGUUUUACACUAGAACGCAACACUCUGCUUUUCCAUAUGUGCUGGAGUGUUACUGUAUUUAACACACCCCCGCUGCCAGGGAGCUCUAAAGGAGGGGCCAGACUCCAGGGCCAGUCACAGGGCUGAGAGGCCAGACUCCAGGGCAAGUCACAGUGCUGAGAGGCCAGACUCCAGGGCCAGUCACAGGGCUGAGAGGCCAGACUCCAGGGCCAGUCACAGGGCUGAGAGGCCAGACUCCAGGGCCAGUCACAGGGCUGAGAGGCCAGACUCCAGGGCCAGUCACAGGGCUGAGAGGCCAGACUCCAGGGCCAGUCACAGGGCUAGAGAGCUGACAGGCCAGACUCCAGGGCCAGUCACAGGGCUAGAGAGCUGACAGGCCAGACUCCAGGGCCAGUCACAGGGCUGAGAGGCCAGACUCCAGGGCCAGUCACAGAGCUGAGAGGCCAGACUCCAGGGCCAGUCACAGAGCUGAGAGGCCAGACUCCAGGGCCAGUCACAGAGCUGAGAGGCCAGACUCCAGGGCCAGUCACAGGGCUGAGAGGCCAGACUCCAGGGCCAGUCACAGGGCUGAGAGGCCAGACUCCAGGGCCAGUCACAGAGCUGAGAGGCCAGACUCCAGGGCCAGUCACAGAGCUGACAGGCCAGACUCCAGGGCCAGUCACAGGGCUGAGAUGCCAGACUCCAGGGCCAGUCACAGGGAUACAGAGCUGAGAGGCCAGACUCCAGGGCCAGUCACAGGGCUAGAGAGGCCAGACUCCAGGGCCAGUCACGGGGCUAGAGAGUUGACAGGCCAGACUCCAGGGCCAGUCACAGGGCUAGAGAGCUGACAGGCCAGACUCCAGGGCCAGUCACAGGGCUGAGAGGCCAGACUCCAGGGCCAGUCACAGGGCUAGAGAGCUGACAGGCCAGACUCCAGGGCCAGUCACAGGGCUAGAGAGCUGACAGGCCAGACUCCAGGGCCAGUCACAGGGCUGAGAGGCCAGACUCCAGGGCCAGUCACAGAGCUGAGAGGCCAGACUCCAGGGCCAGUCACAGAGCUGAGAGGCCAGACUCCAGGGCCAGUCACAGGGCUGAGAGGCCAGACUCCAGGGCCAGUCACAGGGCUGAGAGGCCAGACUCCAAGGCCAGUCACAGGACUACAGAGCUGACAGGCCAGACUCCAGGGCCAGUCACAGGGCUGAGAAGCCAGACUCCAGGGCCAGUCACAGAGCUACAGGACUCUUCUCAAAGCACAGGAUGUAUGAAUCCCAAAUGGCACCCUAUUCCCUA